CUUUCUGACUCCCAGGCCCGUGCUCUAGCCACGAGGCGAUGCUGAUUCCCAUUGCCGGAGACAGGAAUGUCCUCCAAGUGGUCAGGGAAGGCGAGUGGUUUCUUGGAUGGCAGGCGUUUGCCAUGGGCAGAUGCAGCCCCGAUCCUGGAGCAGAGUCAGCCCGGUGCUCGUGACUGAAGGGAAUUGGUCGUCUGUCCCGUGAAGUCAAGUUACCUAACGUUCACCGAGAUUACUGUGGACUGUGUUGACUCUGAAAUGUCUCUGAAGCAGUGUUUGCCACACAGAGGCCCCUGCUAGGAGGAUCAAAGUCAUGGCUUUGGAGGCCUAAAUGCUCUUCCUCAAAGCUGGGAGGCAAAAUGGUUUCUGCUGACGGCAGGUGUUUGACAGAGCCAUGGGUGGCUCUUAUUUCACGGCCAAGUACCCGGGGUACCAUGGCCAAAGGUGGAGUUUUUUGGCACCCAGAUAUCUUUACCCCCACAGUUACUCACCGGAGGUUUUCCACAUGGCUCUGGUCACACAUUUCAGGACAGAAUAUUCUUCCUCAAAUCGGAGUGGCCUCACAGUCUCUGAAAAACAGGUUAUUGGGCAAAGCAUUGGACUGAGCCGAGAGGCAAGUAAGUCUUCUGACUUACACGUGCCAUGGCUCUGGUGUUGGGAUGAGUGAUACUUUAUCCCGAUCUGAUCAUAUAGAUGACAGUGCCAGGUGUCUAAAGGCAAGGGAUUUAAGUAGUGAAUUUCCUUCCUCAAAUCAGGGAGGGUGCAUGGUGGCUUUUUCCAGAGCUGGAUUCAACCCCUACUUCCUCUCCCCAAGAUAUUUGUUCCACAAUUCGAAUUUUGGGACUGUCCAUUCACAGUUUAUAGCUUUGUUAGAAGACAGUGUUGGACAAUGGGUGUCCUCUGUUUUCUUCUCAUGUGCAGGGAUUUGGUCCUCUGUCCCCAGAAGCCAAGUUACCUUUCGUUAACCGAGAUAAUAGUGGAGUGUGGGACUCUCAAAUGUCUCCGUCCCAAUCUCUGCCAACGCAGAGGCCCCUGCCAGGAGAAUCACAGUCAUGGCUUUAGAGGCCUAAAUGCUCUUCCUCAGUGCUUUUAGUGAGCAUCGUCCUGCAUCGUCGACUCUGCGUCGUCCAAGAUUAAUAUGAAAUGAUUAGAUUCCCACAUGUUUUUGCCUUGGCCGCCCUUACACGGAGGCCACGACCACGGGGAUACCGUUAUGGCGCCUUCGACUUCAGUGGAUGUUGACAGAUUGGGGAGGUGUCAAAAUUGUUUUUACAAAAUGGCUUCUUCCUUGUGCUAGAUGUAUUGCUGAAAUCUGGAUGCCUCCUGCCUGAAAACCAGGUCUUUCCUUGGCACCAAGACUAUCGGGGAGCUUGUUGUCUACGGCAAGUCUCUUUCCCAGUCUCCUGCCCUCAGAGGCCACUUCCAGAAGGUCACAGUCCUGGCUGUCCUGGGCCAGUUGGGCUUCCUUGAAGCAAAGGAACAGCCCUGUUUCUUUGGGAGUCGUGGGUCUGACAGGGACAAGAGGAAAGAUACAUAAUUUCUUUGGACUGCAGACUUUCGAUGGUAACUUGGACUGCAUUUAGGCUACAGCCAAGAUUCCCCAGUGGCUCUGAACGAGGCUGUUUCAGGGGAUACACAAUUUCUUAGCCCCAUCUCACCCCGCAGAAAAGGAGGGCAGGGAUCCACCAUCAGGGAUCGAGUGGCGGGAUAUUUUUCCUCAAAUCCAGGAGGAGGCAGGGUCGCUUUGUGUGACAGGUUGCUCCUCAAUGGCUUGGACAGCCCCGGGCCCGCAGCCAAGCUCACUGCGGUGACCCUGGUGCUGUUGUUUUCAGAGGUGUUGAGCCUCGAGGACGGCCCUUGUUUCCCUGGAGCAAAUUAAUGACACGGUUUCUUUGGAUAUGCGUGUUGGAUGGGGACAUGGACAGCCCCGAUAGUGUGGCGAAGCUACGUCGGUGCCCCUGGAUGGGUAUGACUUUCAAUUCCUUUCCCCGAUCUUGUCACACAGAAGACGAUGCCGUGUUUUUAGGGUCAGGGAGAGAGGGAUUGAAGAGUUUUCCUUGGGUCAGGGUGGCCGCAUCCUCGCUUUCUGUGGCUGGUUGGUAGGCAGAGAGUUGGACAACGCUGUGCCUGACACCAAGCUAACUGCGUGGCUCCUUUAUUGUUGUUCUCGAAGACGAUGAGCCUCGAAGUCUUUCCCCGUUUCUUUGGAGUAAGGGAAGGACGUGGCUUCUGUGGACGUGGGUGUUGGACAUCCACUCUCCAUAUACAAUGUCUGAACGCCGUAUUUUUGAAAAUCCCCUCCCUCUCCACCCCCCACAUCCAAGGACUCCAAGCAGAGAUUUGGGCACUGUAUCCCGACUGGCAGUUGCUGCGAAGGCACUAGUAUUUUUUUUUGGCAAAGAUUCUGGGCCUCUCUCAGGUCUCUGACCAGGAAAAUGGGAUGGAUCCCUCAAGUCGUGACCCAGCCUCGCAUACGCAGAUAUCACCAGCAGGUGAGGACAGUAGAGACUGUCAACGUAAAGUAGGGUGGUGUCGUAGUGGCUUUUCACGGCGGGAUGUAUGGCAGAGACUUGGACGCGCCUUUCCCUGAAGUCCAGCGACGCCGUAUUGCCCAAGAUUCACGUGGAAUCUGUUGGCUGCCACAAGUCUUCAUCUGUGCCUCGCUCAUCCAGAGACUCCUGAUGGUUUAAGGCAGCCUCAUCUUAUGAGAUGUGAUCGUGAUGGCAGAGACCACUGUCACAUGAAGAGUGUAUUGUCUUCAAAGACCCAAAUGCACAUCAUGAAAUCAGGGAAGGCGAGUGGUUUCUUGGAUGGCAGGCAUUUACAAUGGACAGAGGUGGCCCUGAUCCUGGAACAGAGUUGGCCCGGUGCCCGUGACUGACUGUUAGCUGGAUGGCGUGCUUGAUAUUUUACCCCGAUCUGCUCAUGUAGAUGAUGGUGCCAAGUAUCUACAAGCAGGGACGGAAUCGGUCCUCUUUCCCGUGAUGCCAAGUUACCUUAUGUUAACGGAGAAUAUGGUGACUCUGCAAUGUCUCCAUCCCAAUCUCUGCCAACGCAGAGACCCCUGCAUGGAGGAUCACAGUCAUGGCUGUAGAAGCCUAAAUGCUCUUCCUCAAAGCCGGGAGGCCACAUGGUUUCUACCGACGGCGGGUGUUUGACAGAGCCAUGGGCGGCUCUUAUCCGGCAGCCAAGUUCCCGGGAUACCCUGGAAGAAAGUGGAGUUUUUUUGGCACCCACGUGUGUUUACCCCACCCCCAACCUCCCAUGGCUUUGGUCACACCUUUAAGGGUGGAAUAUUCACUGAUUCAACUGAACGGCUGACUGUGUGCAGAGCAUUCUAAUGAGAGCUUGGAAAGUAAUCAGGGAGGCACCACAGUCUUCUUGCAGAGCAGGUUAUUGGGCAAAGCCUCCGUUGCUUUUCAUGACAGGAUAUAGAGCAGAUUCUUGGUCGUGCCUUGGAGGGAAACCAAGCUACUCAAUGUUAACCGAGGUGAACGUGCAGUUUGUUGGCUCCACCAGCCUUCAUCCUAGUGUUCGCCACACAAAGGCCCCGAUGGGAUGAUCAGUACCAGGGAUUUUGAAAACUGCAGAUCCCUUCCCAGACCAGCAAAGUCCACACUGAUUCUUUGGCUUGAGAGACUGAAUGUUUUUCCUCAAACCACGAGGCAGCCGGUGGCUUUCCAUGACGGGUUGCUCGGCAGAAGCUUGAAAGACGACGUGCCUGAAGCAAAGCUGUUCCUCCUUCAGAUGACUGGGUUGGCUCUGCUGUGGUUGUUGCUUUUAAAGAAGUCGAACCUCGACGGUGAAAUCUGUUCCCUUGAACCGAGGAAGUAACAUGGUUUCUCUGGCAGGUGUUUGCCCCAUGCUGUGGGCACACCCCAGUGCAAGGCUGUGAUCGACCCAUGGACUUAUUAGCUCGGUGUUCUUUUUACCCAAAAACUGAACCUCUGUGUGGGCUGCUGUAGAUUUUUGGGAGCCUCUUGGCUGAAGACCAGGUAGUUUGUCUUCACCGAGACUACCAGGGAAUUUGUUGUCUACUACAAGUCUCUUCCCCAGUCUUCUUCCCUCGGAGGGCACUUUCAGGAGCUCACACUCGAGGCUGCCCCGGGCCACAUAGGCUGCCUUGAAACAAGGAAGCAGCAUGGCUUCUUUGGUUGUCGGGUGUUUUAGAGGGACAUGGACAGCCCAAAUGCAGCCAAUUGACUCUCUUGUCCCUGACCAAGGUUUAUUCUUCUGGGGAAUCUAUGAUUUUUUUAUCCCUGUCUCAUACUAUAGGAGAAGAUGAUAAUAAUAAUCAUCAUCAUCAUCAUUCUGGUACUUAAGUGCUCACAAUGCACCAGGUACUGUACU